UACGUAGGGUGCAAGCGUUGUCCGGAAUUAUUGGGCGUAAAGAGCUCGUAGGCGGUUUGUCGCGUCUGCUGUGAAAACUCGGGGCUUAACUCCGGGCCUGCAGUGGGUACGGGCAGACUAGAGUGCGGUAGGGGAGACUGGAAUCCUGGGUGUAGCGGUGAAAUGCGCAGAUAUCAGGAGGAACACCGGUGGCGAAGGCGGGUCUCUGGGCCGUAACUGACGCUGAGGAGCGAAAGCGUGGGGAGGCGAACAGGAUUAGAUACCGUUG
rnacentral:rRNA from 1 species